AACGAACGCUGGCGGCAUGCCUAACACAUGCAAGUCGAACGAGAUCUUCGGGUCUAGUGGCGCACGGGUGCGUAACGCGUGGGAAUCUGCCCUUUGGUUCGGAAUAACAGUUGGAAACGACUGCUAAUACCGGAUGAUGACGACAGUCCAAAGAUUUAUCGCCAGAGGAUGAGCCCGCGUAGGAUUAGCUAGUUGGUGUGGUAAAGGCGCCCCAAGGCGACGAUCCAUAGCUGGUCUGAGAGGAUGAUCAGCCACACUGGGACUGAGACACGGCCCAGCAACCUACGGGAGGCAGCAGUGGGGAAUAUUGGACAGUGGGCGAAAGCCUGAUCCAGCAAUGCCGCGUCGGUGAUGGAGGCCUUAGGGUUGUAAAGCUCUUUUACACGGGAUGAUAAUGACAGUACCGGGAGAAUAAGCUCCGGCUAACUCCGUGCCAGCAGCCGCCGUAA
rnacentral:rRNA from 1 species